ACAGCCGUUGCACACGAGUCAGUCGAUCCUAAGCCCUAGGAGAAAUCCUAUGUUGAUGACGGUGUUGUGUUUAUUGUAAAAUAUAUUGUAUCACACCCGUUGGGCGAAAGGGAAUCCGGUU
rnacentral:rRNA from 1 species